UACAGAGGUCUCAAGCGUUGUUCGGAUUCAUUGGGCGUAAAGGGCGCGUAGGCGGCCUGUUAAGUCGAACGUGAAAUCCCCAGGCUCAACCUGGGAACUGCGUCCGAUACUGGCAGGCUUGAAUCCGGGAGAGGAAAGCGGAAUUCCAAGUGUAGCGGUGAAAUGCGUAGAGAUUUGGAGGAACACCAGUGGCGAAGGCGGCUUUCUGGUCUGUAACUGACGCUGAGGCGCGAAAGCGUGGGGAGCAAACAGG
rnacentral:rRNA from 1 species